rnacentral:siRNA from 1 species
UCAUCCAAACCCGUCCUACCAUGU